UACGUAGGGUCCGUGCGUUGUCCGGAAUUACUGGGCGUAAAGAGCUCGUAGGUGGUUUGUCGCGUUGUUCGUGAAAACUCACAGCUCAACUGUGGGCGUGCGGGCGAUACGGGCAGACUGGAGUACUGCAGGGGAGACUGGAAUUCCUGGUGUAGCGGUGGAAUGCGCAGAUAUCAGGAGGAACACCGGUGGCGAAGGCGGGUCUCUGGGCAGUAACUGACGCUGAGGAGCGAAAGCGUGGGGAGCGAACAGG
rnacentral:rRNA from 1 species